CUCCUACGGGAGGCAGCAGUGGGGAAUUGUUCGCAAUGGGCGCAAGCCUGACGACGCAACGCCGCGUGGAGGAUGAAGAUCUUCGGGUCGUAAACUCCUGUCGAAUGGGACGAAUGGUCCGGCCGUGAAUAACGGCUGGAAAUGACGGUACCGUGAGAGGAAGCCCCGGCUAACUCCGUGCCAGCAGCCGCGGUAAUACGGGGGGGGCAAGCGUUGUUCGGAAUUACUGGGCGUAAAGGGCUCGUAGGUGGCCUUCUAAGUCCGACGUGAAAUCCCUCGGCUUAACCGGGGAACUGCGUCGGAUACUGGAAGGCUUGAAUCCGGGAGAGGGACGUGGAAUUCCAGGUGUAGCGGUGAAAUGCGUAGAUAUCUGGAGGAACACCGGUGGCGAAGGCGGCGUCCUGGACCGGGAUUGACACUGAGGAGCGAAAGCCAGGGGAGCAAACGGGAUUAGAUACCCCGGUAGUCCUGGCCCUAAACGAUGAGUGCUUGGUGUGGCGGGUAUCGAUCCCCGCCGUGCCGGAGCUAACGCAUAAGC
rnacentral:rRNA from 1 species